CCAUGUUCUGUGACUGACUGGGCUGGCGCCGGACUGGGGGGUGCCCGCCGGUCGGUCACAGAGCACGGGA
rfam:Acyrthosiphon pisum strain LSR1 Contig38783, whole genome shotgun sequence.